rnacentral:rRNA from 1 species
GAGCGGAAGGCCCCUUGUGGGUACUCGAGCGGCGAACGGGUGAGUAACACGUGAGUAACCUGCCUUCCACUCCGGGAUAAGCCUGGGAAACCGGGUCUAAUACCGGAUACGACCGCCUCGCGCAUGCGGGGUGGUGGAAAGCGUCUAGUGGUGGGGGAUGGGCUCGCGGCCUAUCAGCUUGUUGGUGGGGUAGUGGCCUACCAAGGCGACGACGGGUAGCCGGCCUGAGAGGGCGACCGGCCACACUGGGACUGAGACACGGCCCAGACUCCUACGGGAGGCAGCAGUGGGGAAUCUUGCGCAAUGGGCGGAAGCCUGACGCAGCGACGCCGCGUGGGGGAUGACGGCCUUCGGGUUGUAAACCUCUUUCAGCAGGGACGAAGUUGGACGUGUACCUGCAGAAGAAGCGCCGGCUAACUACGUGCCAGCAGCCGCGGUAAUACGUAGGGCGCGAGCGUUGUCCGGAAUUAUUGGGCGUAAAGAGCUCGUAGGUGGCUGGUCGCGUCUGCCGUGAAAGCCCAUGGCUUAACUGUGGGUCUGCGGUGGAUACGGGCCGGCUUGAGGUAGGUAGGGGCAAGCGGAAUUCCUGGUGUAGCGGUGAAAUGCGCAGAUAUCAGGAGGAACACCGGUGGCGAAGGCGGCUUGCUGGGCCUAUCCUGACGCUGAGGAGC